GUACCAAAUAAUUAAUGCUCUGUAAUCAUUUAAAAGUAUUUUGAACGGACCUCUGUUUGACACGUCUGAAUAACUAAAAAGCAAAAAUUUGCCACCUAAGUGGCUUUUUUU
rnacentral:ncRNA from 17 species